AAAAGAAAGAUUGAAACUUUGAUUGUGACUCUUCGUCUGACCACACUGCACUAUUUUCAAAAAAAUUCCCCUUUCUUAUCGUCCUCUUAUGUACACUACAAUACAAAACAAACCCACAUUUUUUUCAUCUUCAAAAUCCAUUUUUUGUCUGCAAUUCUAGUACCCUUUUACUCAAGAUUCCCUUUUUCCCCUUUCAUUCAUCUCAAUUUUCACAACUGUCAAUUGGGUUCAUUUGUUUUUGUCAAUGAGGAAUUCUUUUAUGUGUAUUUGUUUUAUGGAUUUGUAACUGCUUGGUUGGUGAUGAACAAAUACUUUUGUUUUGAAAGUGUUGCUUAG